AUUGAACGCUGGCGGCAGGCCUAACACAUGCAAGUCGAACGAGUGGCGGACGGGUGAGUAAUGUCUGGGACACUGCCCGAUGGCGGGGGAUAACUACUGGAAACGGUAGCUAAUACCGCAUACCAUCGGAUGUGCCCAGAUGGGAUUAGCUAGUGGGGGGGGUAACGGCGCACCUAGGCGACGAUCCCUCGCUGGUCUGAGAGGAUGACCAGCCAAACUGGAACUGAGACACGGUCCAGACUCCUACGGGAGGCAGCAGGGGGGAAUAUUGCACAAGGGGCGAAAGCCUGAUGCAGCCAUGCCGCGGGUAUGAAGAAGGCCUUCGGGGUGUAAAGCACUUUCAGCGGGGAGGCGUUACUCGCAGAAGAAGCACCGGCUAACUACGUGCCAGCAGCCGCGGUAAUUC
rnacentral:rRNA from 1 species